CAUCAAAAAAAUACAAUUAUUUUUUACAUUGUUUACGCCGAAUUUUAUGUGAAAUUAUUCCCAACGUACGAAAAGUGCAUUAGAUCGCGGUCACAUGACUAUAUCUAUACAACUACCUUUCUGACGUCAUCAGGUUCGUGAGAAUAAAGCGGAUACUUUAUGUACGAGUGGUGUUGGUGGUGUUUUAUUUAAUCGCACACUCUUAACACACACACACAAAAGAAAAAAACAUGAGACAUCAUAUAGGAAAAUAGCUAACGAAUUCGUGUAAGUAGGCACAUUUUCCUCGAAUUUUGCAACGUGUACGUCCAUUAAUUAUGAAUCACUUCAAUGCCAAAAUAUUCUCAGAUAACGAAUUAUUGUUUGAAAACUGCUCACUGAU